rnacentral:rRNA from 1 species
GACAGAGGGUGCAAGCGUUGUUCGGAAUUACUGGGCGUAAAGCGCGUGUAGGCUGCUCGGAAAGUCGGAUGUGAAAGCCCUGGGCUCAACCAAGGAAGUGCAUGCGAAACUGGCGAGCUUGAGUACGGGAGAGGAUCGCGGAAUUCCCGGUGUAGAGGUGAAAUUCGUAGAUAUCGGGAGGAACACCAGUGGCGAAGGCGGCGCUCUGGCGUAGUACUGACGCUGAGGUGCGAAAGCGUGGGGAGCAAACAGG